rnacentral:rRNA from 1 species
GUAAAGCACUUUCAGUAGGGAGGAAGGUAGUGUAGUUAACACCUGCACUAUUUGACGUUACCUACAGAAGAAGCACCGGCUAACUCCGUGCCAGCAGCCGCGGUAAUACGGAGGGUGCGAGCGUUAAUCGGAAUUACUGGGCGUAAAGCGCAUGCAGGCGGCCUGUUAAGUCAGAUGUGAAAGCCCGGGGCGUUAACCUCGGAAUUGCAUUUGAAACUGGCAGGCUAGAGUCUUGUAGAGGGGGGUAGGAAUUUCAGGUGUAGCGGUGAAAUGCGUAGAGAUCUGAAGGAAUACCAGUGGCGAAGGCGGCCCCCUCGGACAAAGACUGACGCUCAGAUGCGAAAGCGUGGGGAGCAAACAGGAUUAGAUACCCUGGUAG